rnacentral:rRNA from 1 species
CCUACGGGGGGCAGCAAGUAGGAAUAUUGCACAAUGGUCGUCACAGACGACUGAUGCAGCGACGCCGUGUGUGGGAAGAAGCUUUUCGGAGUGUAAACCAAUGUUAAAAAGGGGCGGCUAACUUCGUGCCAGCAGCAGCGGUAAUACGGGGGCCCCAAGCGUUGUCCGGUUUUAUUGGGCGUAAAGAGUUCUGUAGGCUGUAGUAUAAGUUACUGGUUAAAGGUUCGGGCUCAACCCGAAACAUGCUUGUAAUACUGUAUUACUAGAGGUAGACAGGGGAGGGCGGAACGCAUGGUGUAGUGGUGGAAUACGUUGAUAUCAUGCGGAACACCGAAGGCGAAGGCAGCCCUCUGGGUCUUAUCUGACGCUAAGAGACGAAAGCUAGAGUAGCAAAACGGAUUAGAUACCCCAGUAGUC